CACACGCACUUUACCGUAUACCUGUUAUUAUGUGUUUAUUUCGUGUACACGUCCGCAUCCACGAUUUUCUACUUGGAGAAUGGCUUUAGAAGAAGACCAUGCACUGAACGAAUAUGUAGCAGGUGUCAUGAAGAAAUUAUCGCGACGUAAAA